UCCCUAGUACUGCGAGUGAAGCGGGAAGAAGCUCAAAUUUGGAAUCUGGCGGCGUUGGGCCGUCCGAGUUGUAAUCYAGAGAWAGCGUUUUCCGCGCUGGACCGUGUACAAGUCUCCUGGAAGGGAGCGUCAUAGAGGGUGAGAAUCCCGUCUCUGACACGGACGACCAGUGCURUGUGAUGCGCUCUCGACGAGUCGAGUUGUUUGGGAAUGCAGCUCUAAUUGGGUGGUAAAUUCCAUCUAAAGCUAAAUACAGGCGAGAGACCGAUAGCGAACAAGUACCGUGAGGGAAAGAUGAAAAGAACUUUGGAAAGAGAGUUAAACAGUACGUGAAAUUGCUGAAAGGGAAACGCUUGAUGUCAGUCGCGUCGGCCGGGGAUCAACCUUGCAUUCGCUGGGCGUACUUCCUGGUCGACGGGUCAGCAUCAGUCUUSGUCGUCACACAAGGGCGAAGGGAAUGUGGCACUCUUCGGGGUGUGUUAUAGCCUUUCGUCGGAYGUGAGGGUGAGGACUGAGGAACUCAGCACGGGCGACUUGUGCUUAGGAUGCUGGCAUAAUGGCCUUAAGCGACCCGUCUUGAMM
rnacentral:rRNA from 1 species